GACGAACGCUGGCGGCGUGCUUAACACAUGCAAGUCGAACGGAAAGGCCUGCUUUCCCUUGUGGAUUGCGGGUACUCGAGUGGCGAACGGGUGAGUAACACGUGAGUGAUCUGCCCCCAACUUGGGUAUAAGCCUGGGAAACUGGGUCUAAUUCCCGAUAGGACUGCAGGGUGGUGCCUGUGGUGGAAAACGAUUUUCUAGUGGUUGGGGAUGAGCUCGCGGCCUAUCAGCUUGUUGGUGGGGUAAUGGCCUACCAAGGCGGCGACGGGUAGCCGGCCUGGGAGGGUGGACGGGCACAUUGGGACGGAGAUAAGGCCCAGACUCCUACGGGAGGCAGCAGUGGGGAAUAUUGCAGAAUGGGCGGAAGCUUGAUGCAGCGACGCCGCGUGGAGGAUGACGGCCUUCGGGUUGUAAACUCCUUUCGACCGCGAGGAAGCCACCUGGUUGGAAGGGUGGUGACGGUAGUGGUAGAAGAAGCACCGGCUAACUACGUG
rnacentral:rRNA from 1 species